AACACGAUGGAGCGGGAUAGCGAUCUUCCAUAAGAAGCUCAGUAAUUCGCGUGAAAAUGGGUGAUGUUACCAUGUACUUUGCU